AUAUUAGGAGAUGGUUAGCUUUUUUAGCGAAAAGAAAAGAGAUCAUGUGGCCAUCACAUGGCUCUUAUUAAUUCCUCUUUCUUUCUUUCUAUUGGUUGGAUUUUAUCGAUCUUAGGUGGGUGUAGUAAAAACAUAGAGAGGAGGAGAGAGUGGAAGGAGAGAACCAGCAUCUGCUCGAAGUGCAACUAGGAGGAAAGAAGUGAGAAUCCACAUAUUAUUGUCUCUACUCAAAGUCAAGUUGCUUAUGCUAACAAGUUAUUAU
rnacentral:lncRNA from 1 species